rnacentral:misc_RNA from 1 species
ACUCUCAACCUAACAAGHUUGUAACGAGCUUGCUUAGGCUUGGACUUGGAGGCUUGCCGGCUGUUUACCCAGUCGACUCCUCUCAAAUGCAUUAGCUUGGUUCCUUGCGAAUCGGCUCACGGUGHGAUAGUUGUCUACGCCGCGACCGUGAAGCGUUUAUUGGCCAGCUUCUAAUCGUCUCUUGCGAGACAAUUACUUCGAA